rnacentral:lncRNA from 1 species
GAGGCUUUAUGACAUCACACAGAAACUCUGAUGUCAAUGAGGAACCCUCUGGGUAGGCUUUUGAGAAGUUGCUAAGGAUCUUCUUACUGCCAAAUGACUGUAACUUCAUCCCAAUGGGAUUUGCAAUAGAGCUCAUCCAUGCAGCAAUAAAGCCAAACUGUAAUCAUCUUUGUAGCAUAUUGUUCUGGGAUCAGCACCUUUGGGGAUACAUUAGUACGGCGAUUGACGGAAAGAAGCUGGAGAGGGAAACCAAAGUGAACCCAGCCAAGAUGUCUGGAACUGUGGAACUGUGGAAACCUACCAGGAAUAUUGCAUUGCAAGGAAGAUCUUGCUGGCUGAAGUUCCUCUCCAUUUUGGACAGUCAGAUCAUCUUUCCUCAUACACGAGAGCAAUAGCUUUCUCCAUGAUAUUUGAAAAGCGAGUACAACAUAAAAUAAAGUUCAGAUUCUUCCAGCUCCUUCUUUUGCU